rnacentral:rRNA from 1 species
CCUACGGGAGGCAGCAGUGGGGAAUAUUGCACAAUGGGGGAAACCCUGAUGCAGCAACGCCGCGUGAGUGAAGAAGUAUUUCGGAAUGUAAAGCACUAUCAGCAGGGAAGAAGAUGACGGUAUCUGAGUAAGAAGCACCGGCUAACUACGUGCCAGCAGCCGCGGUAAUACGGAGGGGGAAAGCGUUACCCGGAUUCACUGGGCGUAAAGGGGGUGUAGACGGGGAGUCAAGUCUGAUGUGAAAGCCCGGGGCUCAACCCCGGAACUGCUUUUGAAACUGCCAGCCUGGAGUACGGGAGAGGCAAGCGGAAUUCCUGGUGUAGCGGUAAAAUGCGUAGAUAUUAGGAAGAACACCAAUGGCGAAGGCGACUUGCUGGACAGUAACUGACGUUGAGGCUCGAAAGCGUGGGGAGCAAACAGGAUUAGAUACCCGAGUAGUC